GCUGCUCACAAGAGUGUGCCCUCUACUGGAGGGGCAAAGAAACCUCAUUAUUACAGGCCUGGUACUGUGGCAUUCUGAAAUCAGUCCACUGAACUUCGGUUUCACAAGCUCCCCUUUCAGUGUCUGGUGUGAAAAUUUUCGAGAAAUUGCUCAGGACUUCAAAACAGGUCUUCACUACCAGAGUGCAGCUAUAUGGUGCUUUGCAGGAAACAAGUGAGGCCUAUCUGGUUGGACCUUUUGAAGAUAUUAACCUGUGUGCUAUCCGUGCCAAAUGUGUAACAAUUAUGCCAAAAG
rnacentral:lncRNA from 1 species